CAUCAUCUGCUUUGGGUGGAAAAAGACCCUGCUCAGCUUCUGGUGCAAGGGAGAAAACCUCAGCAAGUUUAGCUAAUGGAUUGGGCAGCAGUGGAAGCAGUUUGUCUGGAGGGGCCAAGAAGAAACAUGCAAGAGGUAGCAGCUUUAAUGCACCUUUAAGUCAAAGAAGUGAUGAUAAGUCUAGUACAGAAAAAACACCGAGGAAGCUAAAGCCUAGACUUUCAUCAGGAGAUGAGUUCUUAGCUCUCUUUGAGAAUACCCAACCCAAGAUAAAACAGGCCAGCAGCAAGG